rnacentral:rRNA from 1 species
UGAGGAAUAUUGGACAAUGGAGGCAACUCUGAUCCAGCCAUGCCGCGUGAAGGACUAAGGCCCUAUGGGUCGUAAACUUCUUUUGACGCAGAGCAAUAAGGAUUACGUGUAGUCUGAUGAGAGUAUGCGUCGAAUAAGCAUCGGCUAACUCCGUGCCAGCAGCCGCGGUAAUACGGAGGAUGCAAGCGUUAUCCGGAUUUAUUGGGUUUAAAAGGUGCGUAGGCGGAUGGGUAAGUCAGCGGUGAAAUGUCCCGGCUCAACCGGGGAACUGCCAUUGAUACUGCCUGUCUUGAAUGCGGCCGAGGCCGGCGGAAUGUGGCGUGUAGCGGUGAAAUGCAUAGAUA